UCUACUUUCAAUAAUUUUCAUAAAAAUUAACACAGAUAUUUUUGUAAUUUUUUUAAUUGUGUUUAUGGAGAAAAAAUAAGGCGGCUAAAUUAGUAACCGUAGUUACUGAUUUGUUUACGUUUUUCACAAGCGUUCAGUGAAAGCAAUUUAUGUGCAAAAAUUAGUGAUUCAGAGGAUAAUUUGCCUUCCGAUAUUGAAGUGGCUACUCAAUCUGCCAUCGAUACGUUAGUUCCUGGUAAAUCUAAAGAACGUUACGAGAUAGCGUACAAAUAUUUUGAUGAAUGAAUGGAAGUUAAGAAAAUUGGUGACGUUUCUGAACAAGGUGAUGCAUUCCUAUUUUGCUGAACAAGCAGAGAAGUUAAAACCAUCCUCCUUAUGGUGCCGAUAUUCCAUGUUGCGAACCUUGGUGUUGAUUACGAAGAAUGUUGAUAUUUCUGAAUAUCAUCAGGUUGUGGCUUUCUUCUCGGAAAUCAGAAGGUUCCCGACCCAGAAAAUCGUUUAUUUGUUCCAAAGAAGAGAUAAAUCAAUUUCUUAAGAAAAUGAAUGAUAAGGAUUUCUUAUUUUUGAAGUUUCAGGUUGUUUUGAUAGUCGGAGUGUUUGGUGCUUGUCGACACGAGGAGAUCACAAAUUUUACGACACGAGACGUUAGAGCCGAAAAAGAAUUUAUCAAGAUCACCUUACUGAAUUCAAAAACUAAAAUUAUGUAGAAUUUGCUAUACCGAGAGGAAAUUUUCAGGGAAUAAUUAACAUGUUGCUUGGUCAUAGAGGCUGGAAGUCGGAUAGCAUGGCAGAAGGAUAUGUUGAAACAUCUGUCGAAAAUAAGAAAAUAAUUGCUACGAAAAUAACGGGUUCUUCAGUUACUGUGGGUUCAACAAAUUAGGUCACGGUGGAGAAGCCCAGCUUCAACAUGGGAACAGCGUCUGGUGUUAACUUUAUAAAUGCUUCAAACUGUGUAAUUUAUGUUAAUAAAUGGUUUUGAAACUUU